rnacentral:rRNA from 1 species
CAGUAGCCGCGGGAAUACGGAGGGGGCUAGCGUUGUUCGGAAUUACUGGGCGUAAAGCGCACGUAGGCGGCUUGGUAAGUUAGAGGUGAAAGCCCGGAGCUCAACUCCGGAAUUGCCUUUAAGACUGCCGAGCUAGCAGGUGAGAGAGGUAAGUGGAAUUCCGAGUGUAGAGGUGAAAUUCGUAGAUAUUCGGAAGAACACCAGUGGCGAAGGCGGCUUACUGGCUCAUUCUAGACGCUGAGGUGCGAAAGCGUGGGGAGCAAACAGGAUUAGAUACCCCCGUAGUCCCUGUCUCUUAUAC